rnacentral:ncRNA from 1 species
CAACUGAAUACGUCCGGUGGUCACAACAUCUGUGUUAAAAGGGAAGCCCGGUAGAAUCCGGCACGGUCCCGCCACUGUAAAGGGGAGCUUCGUAUCAAUCCACUGUCUGAAAAAGACGGGAAGGCGUACAGAGUGAGGAACCUGAGUCAGGAGACCUGCCACCGGAAAGAACAUGAA